CCUACGUGAGGCAGCAGUGAGGAAUAUUGGUCAAUGGGCGCGAGCCUGAACCAGCCAAGUAGCGUGAAGGAUGACUGCCCUACGGGUUGUAAACUUCUUUUAUAAAGGAAUAAAGUGAGGCACGUGUGCCUUUUUGUAUGUACUUCAUGAAUAAGGAUCGGCUAACUCCGUGCCAGCAGCCGCGGUAAUACGGAGGAUCCGAGCGUUAUCCGGAUUUAUUGGGUUUAAAGGGAGCGUAGAUGGGUUGUUAAGUCAGUUGUGAAAGUUUGCGGCUCAACCGUAAAAUUGCAAUUGAUACUGGCAGUCUUGAGUACAGUUGAGGUAGGCGGAAUUCGUGGUGUAGCGGUGAAAUGCUUAGAUAUCACGAAGAACUCCGAUUGCGAAGGCAGCUUACUAAACUGCCACUGACAUUGAUGCUCGAAAGUGUGGGUAUCAAACAGGAUUAGAUACCCUUGUAGUC
rnacentral:rRNA from 1 species